CACGUAGGCACCAAGCGUUGUCCGGAUUUAUUGGGCGUAAAGAGCUCGUAGGCGGUUCGGUAAGUCGGGUGUGAAAUCCCUGGGCUCAACCCAGGAAGUGCACCCGAUACUGCUGUGACUUGAGUACGGUAGGGGAGUGCGGAAUUCCUGGUGUAGCGGUGGAAUGCGCAGAUAUCAGGAGGAACACCAAUGGCGAAGGCAGCACUCUGGGCCGAAACUGACGCUGAGGAGCGAAAGCGUGGGGAGCGAACAGGAUUAGAUACCCUGGUAGUCCACGCCGUAAACGUUGGGCACUAGGUGUGGGCUCUAACCAACGGAGUCCGUGCCGCAGCUAACGCAUUAAGUGCCCCGCCUGGGGAGUACGGCCGCAAGGCUAAA
rnacentral:rRNA from 1 species